CCUACGGGUGGCAGCAGUGGGGGAUAUUGCACAAUGGUGGAAACCCUGAUGCAGCGACGCCGCGUGAGUGAAGAAGUAUUUCGGUAUGUAAAGCUCUAUCAGCAGGGAAGAAAAUGACAGUACCUGACUACGAUGCCCCGGUUAACUACGUGCCAGAAGCCGCGGUAAUCCGUAGGGGGCAAGCGUUAUCUGGAUUUACUGGGUGUAUAGGGAGCGUAGACGGUGAUGUAAGUCUGGAGUGAAAGCCCGGGGCCCAACCCCGGGACUGUUUUGGAAACUGUGUAACUUGAGUACAGGAGGGGCAAGCGGAAUUCCGGGUGUAGCGGUGAAAUGCGUAGAUAUCAGGAGGAACACCAGCGGCGAAGGCGGCCUGCUGGACUGAAACUGACGUUGAGGCUCGAAAGCGUGGGGAGCAAACAGGAUUAGAUACCCGAGUAGUC
rnacentral:rRNA from 1 species